GCAGCCUCUGUCUCUGGCCACUCACCAGACAACCCCCCUGAAAACUCUCCUCUCCAAACACAGGGACAAUGAGACUUUGGUUAUAUCUUGUUCUCAUUGCAGCAGCGUGUGAAGGUGUCCGGUCCCAGCUGCAGCUGGUGGAGUCCGGAGGGGAUGUGAAGAAGCCCGGAGACUCUCUCCGCCUCUCCUGCAAAGCCUCCGGCUUCACCUUCAGCAGCUACUACAUGGGCUGGGUCCGUCAGGCUCCCGGGAAGGGGCUGGAGUGGCUCGCCUGGAUUCACGGUUCUAGCAUAUACUACAGUGACUCGGUAAAAGGGCGAUUCACCGUCUCCAGAGAUGACCCCAACAGCCUGCUGUACCUGCAGAUGAACAGCCUGAAGCCCGAGGACACCGCCCGGUAUUACUGUGCUCGGGUCUCAGGCCGGUCAUUAGCAAUGCAUGGAGCGGGUCUGUCAGGCUCCCGGGAAGGGGCUGGAGUGGGUCGCCGUAUCAGCAGCGGCAGUGGGAGUAGCACUUGGGAGGCUGAUGCAGCCAAAGGGCGAUUCACCAUCUCCAGGGACAAUCCCAGCAACCUGCUGUGUCUGCAGCUGACCGGCCUGAAGCCCAAGGACACCGCCCGCUAUCGCUGUGCCAGACAUGACCCCUGCACAGUAACUAUUAAAGAACAAAGUGUACGCCCCUCCGGGUUCCUGAGCGUGAUAGAAUCAGGGGUCUAA